rnacentral:siRNA from 1 species
UGUAGCUAUUGUGGUAUAUG